rnacentral:sRNA from 1 species
CUACAAAAAAAGACUGAAGACAAAUCCUGUCUUCAGUCCAGGUAAAGGGCUCUUGGCAGAGCCGUGCGCUAAACAUGAGGUCUAUUGAGGGCAUUGUCGCCCGGUACUUUAAAGAUAGUAUCAGACGGGGAGUUAAUCCAACCG